rfam:Candidatus Thiomargarita nelsonii contig_751, whole genome shotgun sequence.
GUGGGCGUAGCUCAGCUGGUAGAGCUCCGGAUUGUGGUUCCGGUGGUCGUGGGUUCAAGCCCCAUCGCUCACC